rnacentral:rRNA from 1 species
CACGUAGGGUGCGAGCGUUGUCCGGAAUUAUUGGGCGUAAAGAGCUCGUAGGCGGUGUGUCGCGUCGGCCGUGAAAACCUGCAGCUUAACUGUGGGCUUGCGGUCGAUACGGGCAUCACUGGAGUUCGGCAGGGGAGACUGGAAUUCCUGGUGUAGCGGUGAAAUGCGCAGAUAUCAGGAGGAACACCAGUGGCGAAGGCGGCUCACUGGUCCGGUACUGACGCUGAGGUGCGAAAGCGUGGGGAGCAAACAGG